AGAGUUCGAUCCUGGCUCAGGACGAACGCUGGCGGCGUGCCUAACACAUGCAAGUCGAACGGAGCCAUCCGGCAGAACCCUUCGGGGUGACGCUGGUGAAGCUUAGUGGCGGACGGGUGAGUAACGCGUGAGUAACCUACCGGGAAGAGGGGAACAACACACCGAAAGGUGUGCUAAUACCGCAUAUUGCCGAAAUGUCGCAUGGGAUUUCGGUGAAAGAUUUUAUCGCUUCCUGAUGGACUCGCGUCUGAUUAGCUAGUUGGCGGGGUAAAGGCCCACCAAGGCGACGAUCAGUAGCCGGACUGAGAGGUUGAACGGCCACAUUGGGACUGAGACACGGCCCAG
rnacentral:rRNA from 1 species